rnacentral:sRNA from 1 species
AAAAAUACAAAAAAUAAGCCGGGCGUGGUGGCAUGCGCCUGUAAUCCCAGCUACUCGGGAGGCUAAGGCAGGAGAAUUGCUUGAACCUGGGAGGUGGUGGAGGUUGCAGUGAGCCGAGAUCAUGCCUUUGCACUCCAGCUUGGGUAACAAGACUGAAACUCCGUCUCAAAAAAAAAGGAAAUGAGGUGAAGUUAGAGUGCAGUGAGUCUUCCUGGGUGGCUCAAGUGUGGAUUUUAAAAGUAGUUCCCAAAGAGGCAUUCAGGCAUUCAGGGAAUGUUUGCAGCCCUGCAGCAUCUCUGAACCCCAGAGGGGUGUCAGCCAGUUCUCACCUGGACAUGUGCGCUGGUGCGGAUCUGUACAUGGGUCCUGCACAGUCACGCACACCCUCUGCACACCUGCCUCUGUGAGGCUGAUGCAGAUCCCUGUCUUCACCUCUAUCCCUGCUGCUGCACAAACUGCAUUCUGCUGCCCUGCUUUUCUCCGACCCUCUAUUCCCGUCCCCUGUUCUGCCCUGGCUGGCUGCCCCAGUGGAUGCCCGCACCUGCUCCUGCCUGUCUUCCCCACUACAUCGUGACCCCCCAGUGAACCCCAAGUGGCAUGGGCUGGGCACAGAGGAGCCCUCCACAGAUGCAUGCGAGGAACGUUCCCCACCUAAGCCCCCUCGUGACAGGCCAGGUCUGGGUCACUCUGAGGGUGUCUAGAGGACCCCAGCUUGGGAGAAGAGUUACUGUUAUAACACUUGUCUUUUGGCUGGAGAUACCUGAGACUUUGAGAUUGUCAGGGAGGCUUUGGGAUUGACGCCACAUGUCUCAGGUCCCCAGCUGGUCAAGUGUCAUUUGUCCCUAGGCCCAGGCCAUGGCUAUGAUGGGGAGGAGAGAGCGGUGAGUGAUAGCUUCGGGCCUGGAGAGUGGGAUGACCAGAAAGUGCGACACACUUUUAUCCGAAAGGUUUACUCCAUCAUCUCCGUGCAGCUGCUCAUCACUGUGGCCAUCAUCGCUAUCUUCACCUUUGUGGAACCUGUCAGCGCCUUUGUGAGGAGAAAUGUGGCUGUCUACUACGUGUCCUAUGCUGUCUUCGUUGUCACCUACCUGAUCCUUGCCUGCUGCCAGGGACCCAGACGCCGUUUCCCAUGGAACAUCAUCCUGCUGACCCUUUUUACUUUUGCCAUGGGCUUCAUGACAGGCACCAUUUCCAGUAUGUACCAAACCAAAGCCGUCAUCAUUGCAAUGAUCAUCACUGCGGUGGUAUCCAUUUCAGUCACCAUCUUCUGCUUUCAGACCAAGGUGGACUUCACCUCGUGCACAGGCCUCUUCUGUGUCCUGGGAAUUGUGCUCAUGGUGACUGGGAUUGUCACUAGCAUUGUGCUCUACUUCCAAUAUGUUUACUGGCUCCACAUGCUCUACGCUGCUCUGGGGGCCAUUUGUUUCACCCUGUUCCUGGCUUACGACACACAGCUGGUCCUGGGGAACCGGAAGCACACCAUCAGCCCGGAGGACUACAUCACUGGCGCCCUGCAGAUUUACACAGACAUCAUCUACAUCUUCACCUUUGUGCUGCAGCUGAUGGGGGAUCGCAAUUAAGGAACAAGCCCCCAUUUUCACCCGAUCCUGGGCUCUCCCUUCCAAGCUAGAGGGCUGGGCCCUGUGACUGUGGUCUGGGCUUCAGGCCCCUUUCCUUCCCCUUGAGUAACAUGCCCAGUUUCCUUUCUGUCCUGGAGACAGGUGGCCUCUCUGGCUAUGGAUGUGUGGGUACUUGGUGGGGACGGAGGAGCUAGGGACUAACUGUUGCUCUUGGUGGGCUUGGCAGGGACUAGGCUGAAGAUGUGUCUUCUCCCCACCACCUACUAUAUGACACCACAUUCUUCCUAACAGCUGGGGUUGGGAGGAAGAUGAAAAGAGCCUAUUCGAUAGCUAGAAGGGAAUAUGAAAGGUAGAAGUGACUUCAAGGUCACGAGGUUCCUCUCCCACCUCUGUCACAGGCUUCUUGGCUACGUAGUUGGAGCUGUUUCUUCCCCCAGCAAAGCCAGAGAGCUUUGUCCCUGGCCUCCUGGACACAUAGGCCAUUAUCCUGUAUUCCUUUGGCUUGGCAUCUUUUAGCUCAGGAAGGUAGAAGAGAUCUGUGCCCAUGGGUCUCCUUGCUUCAAUCCCUUCUUGUUUCAGUGACAUAUGUAUUGUUUAUCUGGGUUAGGGAUGGGGGACAGAUAAAAGAACGAGCAAAGUAACCUAUACAGGCCAGCACGGAGUAGCAUCUCUCCUGGGCUUGCUCCUGGCUUGUGACGGUAUAAGACAGAGCAGGCCACAUGUGGCCAUCUGCUUCCCAUUCUUGAAAGCUGCUGGGGCCUCCUUGCAGGCUUCUGGAUCUCUGGUCAGAGUGAACUCUUGCUUCCUGUAUUCAGGCAGCUCAGAGCAGAAAGUAAGGGGCAGAGUCAUAUGUGUGGCCAGGAAGUAGCCAGGGUGAAGAGAGACUCGGUGCGGGCAGGGAGAAUGCCUGGGGGGUCCCUCACCUGGCUAGGGAGAUACUGAAGCCUACUGUGGUACUGAAGACUUCUGGGUUCUUUCCUUCUGCUAACCCAGGGAGGGUCCUAAGAGGAAGGUGACUCCUCUCUGUCUUAAGUUGCACUGGGGGAUUUCUGACUUGAGGCCCAUCUCUCCAGCCAGCCACUGCCUUCUUUGUAAUAUUAAGUGCCUUGAGCUGGAAUGGGGAAGGGGGACAAGGGUCAGUCUGUCGGGUGGGGGCAGAAAUCAAAUCAGCCCAAGGAUAUAGUUAGGAUUAAUUACUUAAUAGAGAAAUCCUAACUAUAUCACACAAAGGGAUACAACUAUAAAUGUAAUAAAGUUUAUGUCUAGAAGUU